GACGAACGCUGGCGGCGCGCCUAACACAUGCAAGUCGAACGAGAGAGAGGAAGCUUGCUUCCUUAAUCGAGUGGCGAACGGGUGAGUAACGCGUGAGGAACCUGCCUCAAAGAGGGGGACAACAGUUGGAAACGACUGCUAAUACCGCAUAAGCCCACAGCUCGGCAUCGAGCAGAGGGAAAAGGAGUGAUCCGCUUUGAGAUGGCCCCGCGGUGCAUUAGCUAGUUGGUAAGGUAACGGCUUACCAAGGCGACGAUGCAUAGCCGAGUUGAGAGACUGAUCGGCCACAUUGGGACUGAGACACGGCCCAA
rnacentral:rRNA from 1 species